rnacentral:sRNA from 2 species
CUUCAGGAUCGCUAGGGUUCCGGUCGCGUGCGAGCGCGAUGCCUGGUCCGAGAGCGUUCCGGUCUUGCCGACGGCCUCGUCCGAGGUCGCGGCGAGGCUCCACGGAGGGAUAAAAGCCCGGGAGGU